rnacentral:rRNA from 1 species
GACGAACGCUGGCGGCGUGCUUAACACAUGCAAGUCGAACGAAGAGCGAUGGAAGCUUGCUUCUAUCAAUCUUAGUGGCGAACGGGUGAGUAACGCGUAAUCAACCUGCCCUUCAGAGGGGGACAACAGUUGGAAACGACUGCUAAUACCGCAUACGAUCUAAUCUCGGCAUCGAGGAUAGAUGAAAGGUGGCCUCUACAUGUAAGCUAUCACUGAAGGAGGGGAUUGCGUCUGAUUAGCUAGUUGGAGGGGUAACGGCCCACCAAGGCGAUGAUCAGUAGCCGGGCUGAGAGGAUGAACGGCCACAUUGGGACUGAGACACGGCCCAGACUCCUACGGGAGGCAGCAGUGGGGAAUCUUCCGCAAUGGACGAAAGUCUGACGGAGCAACGCCGCGUGAGCGAUGACGGCCUUCGGGUUGUAAAGCUCUGUUAAUCGGGACGAAAGGCCUUCUUGCGAAUAGUGAGAAGGAUUGACGGUACCGGAAUAGAAAGCCACGGCUAACUACGUG